GACAACCACAGUUUUAAUGUUUACAUGCCCUUAUUUAGGGAAGUAAUGAGUCUGUGAAUGAUUUCCCAGACCAACAAACAAUGAUUGUGUAAGAAGCCAAACUUCAUGAUGUCCAUGGUUGAUGUCUAAUCCACGCCUUAAUAAGGAUAGUGAUGGUAAUUUCAUUAAGUCAACCAUCAUUGUUCGUUUCGAAGGUUAAAUGGUUAAGUCAAAUUUAUAUUCCUUAUAUGUCACUGUCUCAUUGACUUAUGAAGGAGAUUAGUGGUUUUUAUGUUUUAGUCUAGUGGUAAAAAAAGAUUAUGGAUUAAAUAAAGGACACGAGAGGAAUGAGUCUAAUCAUAGUUGUUGCAUAUUUAGAAAUUAAUAUUUUACCAGUGUUACAAUUAGCUGGCUUGUUAGAUGUUGAAAGCCCAAAGGAUUUUUAGUCUUUUAUGUUGCCUUGAUUAUCUUUCAUUAUUUUAACUAGGCUUCUAUUUCCUAUAAAUUAAUGCUCUCUUGUAUCAUUAAGAAAAUAAUAAGAAAGAUUUGCACGAUGGUUUUUCUCCUUGAACUAGGGUUUCCCCGUAAAACUUGUGUUUGCUUUUCGUCUCUACUUUUAAUAUUGUAUCAUAGCAUGAUAUUGAGUCAUUGACCAAACCGUAGACAAUGCAAUUCUUGAUGGAAACCAAACAAUGGAAACAACCGUCGGUAUCAACGCCGUCGUCGAUGCUCCGAUCAGCGCUGCCAUGGAUGAGUGGUUUCGCUAACUUCAGACAACACUAGCCAACAUGAUUCUGUCACACUUUCCAUUGUCUGCGCCUCCACACGCAGCCGCUGGGGACCUCCAGGACCAGCCUAACAAGUUCAAAUCAUGUCGACCAAUCCUUCUUUGCCACAUAAUUCUGUUCAACCACCACCGCUUCUGCUGUCAAACUUGUAUGUGCUGCCACCCACUAAUUCUAUUGCAAAACCCAGUUAUCAUUUCGAGGUUAGGAAUCCUCAAAUUCACUCAACAUUUGAGGUUGGUGAAUCUUCGGCACAUUCCAACUCUAACGUGCAAGCUUCAUCUUCUUUUUCGUGUAUAGCUCACCAACAACUGGAAGAGCUUCGACAAUAGAUUACAGCAAUUGAGACUAUCUUAGGGGUGAAAUCCAGCACUUCUGGUCACGACCAUCGUACACCUUUACCCAUGUAUUUUGAGAUUUCGAUAACAUCGUUCCUCACUUUAUCUUCUUAUGCAACUAACACAAUGACACAUCACAGUCUCCAGGAUAUUUUUUAGGGGAAAAAUUGAACGACAAUAACUAUUUCUUAUGGUCUUAGUCAGUGAAAAUGGUCCUUGAAGGUCGACAUAAAUUUGGUUUUUUGGCAGGGGAAAUAUCUUGUCCUUCAUCGGGAGACCCACAUGAACGAAAUUGGAAGGGAGAUGACUCUCUUCUUUGAUCAAUAUUGAUUAAUAGUGUGAAGCCAUAGAUCGACAAACCCUUACUAUACGCCACAAUUGUUAAAGAUAUUUGGGACACAACCCAUAAACUAUAUUCCAAACAUUAGAAUGCUUCUCGCCUAUACACACUAUGACAAUAGUUUCAUGAGUGCAAGUAAGGAACCAUAGACGUCACAUCCUUUUUUAAUAAGCUCUCUCUUAUCUGACAAGAAACGGACCUAUGUAGAGAAUUAGUCUGGAAUAGUCCUAGUGAUGGUGUGCAGUACUCUAGAAUUGAAGAGAUUGACGAGAUUUGUGACUUUCUUGUUGGUCUUAACCCUAUGUUUUAUGUGGUUCGUGUGCAUAUAUUGAGCCAAAGACCGACUCUCUCCCUAGUGGAGGUCUGUUUUAAAAUCUGCCUCGAGGAGGAUCAUACAAGUGCUAUGAAUAUUUUGGCAACUUCUGCUAUUGACUCCGCUGCUUUUAGUGCAAGAUCCUCUACCAGCGAUAGUAACAAGAACACUAGAAAACCAGCUCCAGUUUGUGAGCAUUGCAAGAAGCGACAAGAUACGAAGGAGCAGUAUUGGAAGUUACAGUUGUCCUCAGGAGGUAAGAAACUCUCUCCCAACGACAAACAAAACACAAAGCAGGCUUAUGUGACUGAGUUUGCUGAACCUUCUCAACCACUUGAUUCACAUGGAAACCAGACCGAUCAUAGUCCCGCUACUCUAGGCGCCAUUGUCCAAUUAAGUAUACAUUAUUAGUGUUGAUGAAAAGAACCUUUGCAUUCUGGAUUUUGGCACCAUAGAUCAUUUGAUUGGUUCCUCUAAACAUUUUGUCCUAUAUUCCAUGUUAUGGUAACAAAACAAUCAGAAUUGCAUACGACUCCUUGGCCCCCCAUUUCUGGGAAGGGGAAGAUUUCUUCCUGUGCAGGAUUCUCCCUACAUAAUGUUUUGCAUGUGUCCAAAAUUUCUUAUGAUCUGGUAUCUAUAAGCAAGAUUACUCCUAAGUUAAAUUGUAAAGCAACAUUUUUACCUACCUAUGUUUCUUUUUAGGACUUGAGCUCGGGGAGGAUAAUUGACACUGUCUGACAUAAUAGGGAACUCUACCUCCUUGAUGACGACCUCUUCUAGUAGCAUUUUGUGAGGCCCCCAAUUAUACACACAUAUGUUAGAAAGGGCAAAAAGGGAAAUUCACCAUCAAAUUAAUGAGGGAGAAUGAGUAGGCUAUAAAUAGUGAUGGAUGGGAAAUAAGGAGGUAGGUAUUUUUUGUCAUCUUUAGGUUAAGGAGGGCGGCUGUAGCCGUAGAGGGGGUAUCCUUCUUGUAAAGGGUGCUGGUAUGUUUCCUUUGUUAUUUCCUUUCUCUGUUAUAUUUCAUAGUGUGGCUGUAACUUUUUGGCUUAUAUAUAAAUAAAGAAAUACAGAGUACUGUCUCUGUUUAGCCAUUGCUCGGUGUUUUAUUUGAUAUUGUUGUUAGAACUCUGACAUUUGGUAUCAGAGCCCGAAAACUGGGGGUUGUUACGCGAUUCAUGGCACAAAGGCAGAUGGAGGAAAGAAUGGAAGGAACUGAGAAGGAGAUAUUGAGCAUGAAGGAAAUGUUAUUGGAGAUGAAAAAGUCUAUGGAAAGACUGACGGAGGAACUAAGGGAGAAUCAUAGCUAUAAGCAAAGGGAUGAAUCCGAGACAUCAGAUGGAUCGAUCAUGAAGUUAAAAGGGAAAGUAGAGGAAUCGGAAGUCAGUAAUGAUGUUAACGGAAACACUGUGGAUCAAAGUAAGUACAAAAAGUUGGAAAUGCCUAUGUUCUUAGGCGAAAAUCUAGAAUCCUGGGUAUACAGGGCAUAAUAUUUUUUUUUAAAUCAACAAUCUGCCAGAAACAGAGAAGAUCAAAGUGACGGUGGUCAGUUUUGGGUAGGAUGAAGUGGAUUGGUACCGGUGGACGCAUAAUAGGAAAAGAGUAGAGUCAUGGGAAGACUUGAAAGGAAUGAUGUUUGACUUUUUCAAGGACUCAGGACAAAUGAGUUUAGUGACACAUUUGAUUAAGAUUCAACAAGACGGCUCCUACAGUGAUUAUGUGAAGAAAUUUGUCACAUAUUCAGCUCCUCUACCUCACAUGGAAGAGAGUGUGUUGCGAGAUGCUUUUCUAACCGGUUUAAAACCUAACCUUCAAGUAGAAGUCGUUAGCCGAUAUCCUCAAACGUUGGAAGAUUGUAUGAGAGAGGCUUAACUAGUCAAUGAUCGCAAUUUAGCAAUGAGAUUGACUAAGGCCGAUGGGAGGAUAAUGGAACCACAGAAAAAAGAAGAGUACGCAGGCAAAAUCCAAGAAGGAACAGACAAAGGUUUCGUGAGGAAGACAAAUUUUCCCCUGAAACAGGUAACCAUACCCAUUAAGGUUAAUUACCAAAAGAGUGAACCACCUAUCAAACGCCUGUCAGACGCAGAGUUGAGGUCCAAAUUGGACAAGGGCUUAUGUUUCAAAUGCAAUGAGAGAUAUACAUUAGGACACAGAUGUAGAGUGAAGGAAAAAAAGGAAUUGAUGUUAUUCAUCAUGAAUGAAGAAGAGAGUAAGGAAGACGAAGGUAAGACAGAAGAGAACACAGGAGAGGUGGUGGAAUUAAACCAUCUAGAUCUUGCAUAAGGAGAGGAAAUAGAGUUGAAAACAAUCCAUGGUAUGACAUCGAAGGGAACCAUGAAGCUGAGGGGAGUUAUAAGGGGCAAGGGAGUGGUGGUGCUGAUUGAUAGUGGAGCCACCCACAACUUCUACAUAACAGGAUAGUAGAGGAAAAUAAUCUAACCGUGGAAGAAGGUACUCCAUUUGCGGUUACAAUUGAAGAUGGCACCCGAUGUACGGGCAAGGGCAUAUGCAAGAGAGUAGAAUUGGAGCUACAAGGAGUUAUUGUCGUGGCUGAUUUUUGGCAAUUGAGUUGGGAAAUGUGGAUGUAGUCUUAAGGAUGCAGUGGCUGGACACGACAGGCACAAUGAAAAUACAUUGGCCGUCCCUAACAAUGAGUUUUUGGUUUGGAAAAAAGAAGAAUGUCUUGAAAGGAGACCCAUCCCUCAUCUAAGUAGAAUGCUCCUUGAAAGCAGUUGAGAAAACUUGGGAGAAGGAAGACCAGGGUUUUCUGUUGGAACUCCAGAAUUAUGAAGUAGAAACUGAUGUGGAGAUGGAGCAAGAAAUGAAAGGGGAUGAAGAUGUUCCAAUGAUCAAAUUUUUGUUGCAACAGUAUGUAGACAUCUUUGAAGAUCCUAAAGGGUUGCCCCCUAAGAGAGAAAUAGAUCACCGUAUCUAGAUUCUACCAAAUCAAAGGCCCAUAAAUGUCAGACCCUAUAAAUAUGGCCAUGUACAAAAGGAAGAAAUUGAGAAAUUGGUCAUGAAAAUGCUACAAGCAAGAGUGAUCAGACCUAGUCACAGUCCUUACUCCCGCCUUGUUUUAUUGGUUAAAAAGAAAGAUGGAGGGUGGCGCUUUUGUGUGGACUACUGGAAGCUCAAUCAAGUCACCAUAUCUGAUAAAUUUCCUAUCCCCGUGAUAGAAGAACUAUUGGAUGAAUUACAUGGAGCCAUGGUUUUCUCGAAAUUGGAUUUGAAAUCCGGUUACCACCUAAUAAGGAUGAAGGAGGAAAAUGUCGAAAAGACUGCGUUCAAAACACAUGGGGGCCACUAUGAAUUCCUUGUUGCCUUUUGGACUUACAAACGCUCCUGCCACCUUCCAAUCCUUGAUGAAUUAGGUAUUCAAACCCUUCCUAAGACGUGUAUUGGUUUUUUUUUUAUGAUAUACUUGUGUAUAACACGGAUAUUUCAAAACAUGAGAAGCAUCUAGGAAUGGUUUUUGCGGUAAUGAGAGAUAAUCAACUAUUUGCUAAUAAGAAGUACGUCAUAGCUCACUCCCAAAUCCAGUAUUUGGGACACUUAAUCUCCAACAAAGGAGUGGAGGUGGAGAGGAUAAAAUCAGAGACAUGGUGAAGUGGCCCCAACCAAAGGAUGUCAUGGGUUUGAGAGGGUUUUUGGGCUAUUAUAGAAGGUUUGUUAAAGGAUAUGGGGAAAUUGCAGCUCCAUUGACCAAAUUGUUGCAAAAGAACUCCUUUGUUUGGGACGACCAAGCAUUAGCUGCUUUUGAAAACCUGAAGAUUGUCAUGACUACAAUUCCGGUGCUAGCACUACCUAAUUGGAGUCUACCUAUUUUAAUUGAAACGGAUGCUUUGGGGAUAGGGUUGGGUGAUUUUCUAGGGCUAGUCUUUUAUCUUCCUAUUUUACUAUUUUGAACAAGAUUGUAUGGUGUGACAUUUUCGUUUACGCUACCUUAAUUUUAAUGAAUGAAACAUUUAUUUCCUCAUUUUUCUCUAAACUUGAUGUGUUUACUUUAUCUUGUGACGUAUGUAUUCAGAUAAACAACAUUAGGUUUCUUUUCCUUCAUAACCAUACAAACCAACCCAACGUUUCACACUUGUUCAUAUUGAUGUUUGAGGACCAUCCAAGAUAACUACCUCAUCUAGGAAAUGGUGGUUUGUAACCUUUAUUGAUGAUCAUACCCGUCUUACCUAGGUCUUUCUCGUCUCCGACAAAUUUCAGGUCACCUCCAUCUUCAGGGACUUCUAUCACACUAUAGAAAUGUAGUUCAAUGCAAUGAUUGCUAUUCUACAUUGUGACAGUGGUCAUGAAUUCCAAAACCACACCCUCAAUGAGUUUUUGUCUCGCAAAGGGAUUAUCCACCAAAGUUCCUGUGCCUACACCCCAAAAAAAAAUGGGGUAGCCAAGUGCAAAAACCGUCACCUUUUGGAAGUAGCUUGUUCUCUUAUGUUGUCCCUUCCUUUCUAUCUUUGGGACUAUGUUCUCACUAUGGCCCAUCUUAUCAACCGAGUGUUUUCUCGUGUUCUACAUCUCCAAACCCCAUUAGAGUGUCUUAAAGAGUUGUAUCCCUCUACCCACCUCAUUUCUGAUGUUCCUCUUCGAAUAUAUAGGUGCAUAAACUAUGUUCAUAACCAUGACCCUACCCAAGUAAGUUUACCUCUCGAGCUUGGGCAUGUAUUUUUGUUGGUUACUCUUUGCACCAACGAGGCUAAAAUGCUUUCAUCUGUCUUGUCGUUAGUAUUUUGUCUCCGUGGAUGUCACCUUUCUUGAGGAUCGUCCUUUCUUUCCCGUUAGCCUACUCAGGGAGAGUGAGAGUGAAGAGUUUAACUGGGUGAUUUUCUUAGAGUAUACCAGUCCUACUCUUGUUACCCUACCUAGCCCAGAUCCUUACAACAUGGUCCUAACACCUAUGAACAAAGUUCUUUGGAAAAUCUACUAUAGGAGGAAUCAUAGAAAGGAAGUUGGGUCUCCUACUAUUUAGCCGGCUCCAGUCCAAGAUUCUGAACCUUUACAAGAUCAAGGGUAGUGUUGAGACUGAGGUCGUUUCAAAUGGAAAGGGUAGUGAUGAUGGGAAUGAAGUUAGUGCAAAAGUUACCGAGAAUGAAACUAGAGAGGAUCACUCAGAAAAUAUCAGUAAGUUCAAUUUGUCUCUUGAUUUUCCUAGGUCCUCGACAAAUCACUCAUUUGCUAACUAUGUUUCUUAUAAGAAUCAAUCUCAUCAGUUCAAAAGCCUUUACCAAAGAAUGGUUGCCUUUGAAUGCCCAAAGUGGAAAACUGUAAUCAUGUAAGAAAUGAGAGCCUUGAAAAAGAACAAAACUUGGGAGCUUUGCACUCUCCCUAAGGGACAUAAGACUGUAGGAUGCAAAUGGUUUACUAUCAAGUACAAAACAGAUAGUACUCUUGACAAACAUAAGGCUAGGUUAGUUGGAAAAGGGUUCACUCAGAUUUAUGGGUUGACCUAAGACUUUUUCUCCUAUUGCAAAUUUAAACACUAUUAGAAUCUUGCUAUUUGUUGUGAAAAAAACUUGCCUCUAUAUCAACUUGAUGUUAAGAACGUGUUCCUACAUGGGAAUUUAGAAGAGGAAGUGUAUAUGAGUCCACCAAGAUCCGAAGCCCAGUUUGACCAUCAUAUUUGCAAACUUUGAAAGUCCUUAUAUGGAUUGAAACAAUCACUAAGAGCUUGGUUUGGCAGAUUUACCACAUUCGUCAAGUCUCAAGGGUACACCUGGGGGCACUAUGAGUUCACAAAAGUCUCUUAAAAAUUACAAUUUUGAUAGUCUAUGUUAAUGACAUUGUUUUAUCUGGAGAUGACACCAAUGAGAUUCUCCAACUAAAAAAGAAGAUUGAGUAUAAGUUUGAAAUUAAAGACUUGGGGAAUUUGAAAUACUUCCAUGAGUUUAGAAAUUUGUGAGGAAAGUUGGCUCUAGAAGAUGUUAUCUGAUAUUCGUUAGGACUAUGAGGUGCCUGUGAAACUUUUCUACGAUAAUAAGGCGGCUAUCAACAUUGUCAAUAACUCGGUCCAACAUGACAAAACUAAACAUGUGGAGGUUGAUAAACACUUUAUCAAAGAGAAAUUGGACAAUGGUACCAUAUGAAUUCCUUGUAUACCUUCAAGCCAACACAUUGCUGAUGUUCUCACAAAAGGGCUUUUCAGACAGAGCAUCGAGUCUUGUGUUAGCAAGUUGGGUCUUUUUUACAUUUACGGUCCAACAUGAGGGAGGGUGUUAGAAUUAGUGGACUUGUAUGUUGAAAGACCAAAGGUUUUUUAGUCUUUUAUGUUGCUCUAAUUAUCUUUCAUUAUUUUAAUUAGACUUCUAUUGCCUAUAAACUAAUUGCUUCCAUAUCAUUAGUUUUAUAAAAAAAAAUAAUAAGAAAGAUUUGCACGGUGGGUUUUCUCCCUGAACUGGAUUUCUACGUAAAACUUGUGUUUGUUUUUCGUCUCUACUUUCAAUAACAGGUUUUCGUGACAACAAAAUGUUGUAGGGUUAGGCAAGCUAUUUCUUGAAAUUAAUCUUGGUGUACAUAAGCUAGCCUAGACACCCAUGAAUGUGAUAAUAGUAAUAAGUCAGCAUGUGAGUAAGUUGAGAACUCAUUUAGACAACCAUCAUUGGUUGGUCUAGUGGUUAAAAAGGAGAUAUAGUCUCCAUAACUAACUAAGAGGUUAUGAGUUUAAUCCAUAGUGGUCACCUAUUUAAGAAUUAAUUUUCUACAAGUUUCCUUGACACUCAAAUGUUGUAGGAUCAAGUCGCUUAUCCUAUGAGAUUAGUCGAGGUAUGCGUGAGCUAGCUCGAACACUCGCGGAUGUAAAAAAAAGGUCAUAAGUUGGUCAGAUACUCACAAAUAUAAAAAAAAAAACUCAUUUAGACACGGGGA